GCUGGGGUAGCUCAGUCGGUUAGAGCAUUUGCCCGCAAAGCAAAGAUCCCGAGUUCGAGUCUCGGUCCAGCA